UAUUGUGCACUUUAUUUCUGUUAUGACAUUAUAAUAUAUAAUGAAAUAAUUAUACAGUUCACCAUAAUGUAGAAGCAGUGGGAGCCCUGAGCUUGUUUUCCUGCAACUAGAUGGUCCCUUCUGGGGACGAUGGCAGACAGUGACAGAUCAGCAGGCAUUAGAUUCUCAUAAGGGGCACGCAACCUAGAUCCCUCGCACGCGCAGUUCACAAUGAGGUUUGCAUUCGUAUGAGACUCUAAUGCUGCUGCCGAUCUGACAGGAGGCGGAGCUCAGGCAGUAAUGCGAACAAUGGGGAGUGGCUGUAACACAGAUGAAGCUUCACUCACUCACCUGCUGCUCACCUCCUGCUGUGCAGCCCGGUUCCUAACAGGCCACAGAUGAGUACUGGUCUGUGGCCAGGGGUUUGGGAACCCCUGCCUCUAUGUUUAUAUUUUUAAGUCUGCUGAUCUUUGAAAUCCUCAAAUCAGGGAACCAGUGCUGAAGAGGUCUGAGGUUACUAUGGCCCUUUCACAAGUGGGUAAGGCUGUGGCUCCCAAAAAUCUGGUUAACCUCCUGCUUCAGUCCUUCCUGGUGGCUUCCUCCCACCUUCAGAAUAAACCCAAACUCCUCCCCACGUGACCUGCCAGGCCCCUGCCUACUUUUCCAGCCCCAGCUCCUCCAUCCUCAUCACUCACAGAGCUCCGGCCACGCAGGCCUUUCUGUUCCUCCGCACGCCAGGCUAAGUUCACCCCAGGGCCUUUGCACGUGCCGUCACUGCACCCAGGACACUGUUCCCUCUGACAUUCACACAUCUGGCUCUUCCUCCUCUUCCUCCCCAUCUUAGUUCAAACACGGCUUCUGCCAAGAGACCCCACUACCCCCAACCAUCUGGCUGGUCUAGAUUCCACCCCUUUGCUAUCAUCCUCUGUUACAUCAUCUAAUCAUUUAACUUCCUCCAAAACAUCAUUCUGCCUAAAUUAAUCUUAUUUAUUUGUUCAUCACUUGUCUCCCCCACAAUGGAAUGUGAGCUCAGUUCUGCAGCCUGUGAGAUGAGGGCUUGGGUCAGAAUUCCAGCCCUGGGCCAGCCACGGUGGCUCACACCUGUAAUCCUAGCACUUUGAGAGGCUGAUGCAGGAGGAUCACUUGAGUCCAGGAGUUACAGACCAGUCUCAGAAACAUAGUGAGCCUUGACUCUACAAAAAAUAAAAAAUUAGCCAGGUGUGGUGGUGCGUGCCUGUAGUCUCAGCUACUCAGGAGGCUGAGGAGGGAGAAUUGCUUGAGUCAGGGAGGUUGAGGCUGUAGUGAGCUAUGAUCAUGCCGCUGGGCUCCAGCCUGAGUGAGAGCGUGAGACCCUGUCUCAAAAAAAAAAAAAAAAAAAUACAUUGUGAAUGGUCUAUGUAAGUCAUAAUAAGGUUAGUAAAAGGAAUCUUUUUUAUUAUACUUUAAGUUCUAGGGUACAUGUGCACAACGUGCAGGUUUGUUACACAUGUAUACAUGUGCCAUGUUGGUGUGCUGCACCCAUUAACUCAUCAUUUACAUUAGGUACAUCUCCUAAUGCUAUCCCUCCCCAGUAAAAGGAAUUUUUAAAGGAGUUGUAUAAUUCAGCUGGCUAUAAUUAAAAAUUAUAAUAAUCUUUCUAGAGAUGCAUCUUUAAUAUUAAAAAAUACACUAAUACAAAACUAAAUAAUUGGUUAAAACAAGAUUUUUUUUUAAUUUUUUUUUUAUUCUUUAGACAGAGUCUUGCUGUGUCACCCAGGCUGGAGUGCAGUGACACAAUCUCAGCUCACUAAAACCUCAGCCUCCCGGGUUCAAGUGAUUCUCCUGCCUCAGCCUCCUGAGUAGCUGGCAUUAUAGGCAUGUGCCAUCACACUCAGCAAAUUUUUGUAUUUUUAGUAGAAACGGGGUUUCACCAUGUUGGCCAGGCUGGUCUCGAACUCCUGACCUCAAGUGAUCUGCCCACCUUGGCCUCCCAAAGUGCUGGGAUUACAGGCAUGAGCCACCACGCCCAGCCAGAAACAAGAUUUUAUUACAAAUACUGACUUAUUUUUAAUGCAAGGAGUUUUUAAAAUUUUUGAAUUCCAUAUUCUUUUUAUCAUUCUUCAGAUUGAUAUGUUUUUUGAAAAGGCCUUGAAUGAUACGCUCUCUCCACCUUUUGUUGGCUCCUGUAACUUUUACUAAUUGUCUAAAGUAAGGGAGAAAUAUUUUUUGAAAACAGGCAAAUAAAAAGUAUCUUUUGAACACUCAAAAACAAUUAUGAUUGGGAGGCCGAGGCGGGCGGAUCACGAGGUCAGGAGAUCGAGA
rnacentral:lncRNA from 10 species